UACGGAAGGCAGCAGUGGGGAAUAUUGCACAAUGGGCGAAAGCCUGAUGCAGCUAUGCCGCGUGUAUGAAGAAGGCCUUAGGGUUGUAAAGUACUUUCAUCGGGGAGGAAAAACAAAACUAAUAAUUUUAUUUCUUGACGUUACCCGAAAAAGAAGCACCGGCUAACUCCGUGCCAGCAGCCGCGGUAAUACGGAGGGUGCUAGCGUUAAUCAGAAUUACUGGGCGUAAAGAGCACGUAGGUGGUUUUUUUAAGUCAGAUGUGAAAUCCCUGGGCUUAACCUGGAACUGCAUUUUGAAACUGAAAUACUAGAGUAUCGUAGAGGGAGGUAGAAUUCUAGGUGUAGCGGUGAAAUGCGUAGAUAUCUGGAGGAAUACCUGUGGCGAAAGCGGCCUCCUAAACGAAUACUGACACUGAGGUGCGAAAGCGUGGGGAGCAAACAGGGAUUAGAUA
rnacentral:rRNA from 1 species